UACGUAGGCAGCAAGCGUUGUUCGGAGUUACUGGGCGUAAAGGGUGCGUAGGCGGCUUUUUAAGUUUGGUGUGAAAUCUCCCGGCUCAACUGGGAGGGUGCGCCGAAUACUGAGAGGCUAGAGUGUGGGAGAGGAAAGUGGAAUUCCUGGUGUAGCGGUGAAAUGCGUAGAUAUCAGGAGGAACACCGGUGGUGUAAACGGCUUUCUGGACCAUAAACUGACGCUGAGGCACGAAAAGCGUGGGUAGCAAACAGG
rnacentral:rRNA from 1 species